rnacentral:lncRNA from 10 species
UUUUAGUAGAGAUGGGGUUUCACCGUGUUAGCCAGGAUGGUCUCGAUUUCCUGACCUCGUGAUCCGCCCACCUCGGCCUCCCAAAGUGCUGGUAUUACAGAUGUGAGCCACCGCGCCCGGCUGAGGACUUUGAAUUAAUGGUGGUUGUGCUGGGGAAAGAGAAACGUGGUCCAUUCAUAGAUACAAUUUUCCUAAGAUGUGUGAAGCCAACGCACGACUGUGUACUUGUCAUUUGUGUGAAGUUGUGAACCAUCACAGCCUGAUGUUUUAUAUAUAUGUCUAUACAGUUGACCCUUGAACAACAUGAGUUUAAAGUAUGCUAGUCCACUUAUACCUGGAUUUUCUUCUGCUUCUGCCACCCUCAAGAUAGCAAGACCAACCUGCCUCAUCCUCCUCCUCCUCAGCCUUCUCAACAUGAGGAUGAUAAGGAUGAAGGCCUUUUUGAGAGGCCACUUCCAC